UAACACGUAGGGGGCGAGCGUUGUCCGGAUUUAUUGGGCGUAAAGAGCUCGUAGGCGGCCGUGCAAGUCGGACGUGAAAACCCAGAGCUCAACUCUGGGAUGCCGUUCGAUACUGCUCGGCUAGAGGCAGGUAGGGGAAAGUGGAAUACCUGGUGUAGCGGUGAAAUGCGUAGAUAUCAGGUGGAACACCGGUGGCGAAGGCGGCUUUCUGGGCCUCGCCUGACGCUGAGGAGCGAAAGCUGGGGGAGCAAACAGGAUUAGAUACCCUGGUAGUCCCAGCCGUAAACGAUGGGUGCUAGGUGUGGGGUCCUAUCGACGGAUUCUGUGCCGCAGCUAACGCAUUAAGCACCCCGCCUGGGGAGUACGGCCGCAAGGCUA
rnacentral:rRNA from 1 species